rnacentral:piRNA from 1 species
UGAGUUUGAAGACAUGUUUGAAG